rnacentral:lncRNA from 1 species
AACAGCCCCAGCUAACCACCGGACAUUGAGCUCCAGUGCUGUGAAUCUCUGCUUAAAGCACCAUAUGACAUUCACCUGUAAUCCCAGCACUUCGAAAGGCCAAGGCGGGAGGAUCAAUUGAGCAGCCUGGGCAACAUAGGGAGACCUCAUCUCUACAAAAAAUAAAAAUAAAUUAGCCAGGUAUGGUGGUGCAUGCCUGGGGUCCCAGCCACUACUCAGGUGGUUGAGUUGAGAGGAUUGCUUGAGCCAGGGAAUUUGAGGCUGCAGCGAGUGGUGAUCACACCACUGCACUCCAGCCUGGGUGACAGAGUGAGACCCUCUCUCUAAAAAAAAAAAAAAAAAAAUCCACCAUGUUACACUCAUCAUCUCCAUGUGAGCAGUUCCUUCUAUCAGUAGAUUGCUGGUCACAGGCCACAGUGAUCUUUUGUGGCUUUCAUGUAUAUUUCAUCAUGUUUAGUGCAAUCCCAUAAACCUUGAAUAACACGAUGGGACCCAUAUGGAGUGCCACUACUGAUGCUGGAAAUGCUCCCAAGAAGCAGAAAAAAGUCAUGACAUUACAAGAAAAAGUUGCAUUGCUUGAUAUGCACUGUAGAUUGAGGUCUGAGGUCUGCAGCUGUGGUUGCCCCGACUUCAGACAGAUGAUUUGUCGUGUAAACAGACCAUGUAAACUUACAGCGUCAAUAAAUACAUUUCAGUACUGUAAAUGUAUUUUCUUUUCCUUACGAUUUUCUAAAUAACAAUCUCUUUUCUUUAGCUUACUUUGUUG